rnacentral:rRNA from 1 species
AGCGUUCUGUAAGCCUGUGAAGGUGUCUUGAGAAGGAUGCUGGAGGUAUCAGAAGUGCGAAUGCUGACAUGAGUAGCGAUAAACAAGGUGAAAGUCCUUGUCGCCGAAAACCCAAGGUUUCCUACGCAACGUUCAUCGGCGUAGGGUGAGUCGGCCCCUAAGGCGAGGCAGAAAUGCGUAGUCGAUGGGAAACAGGUUAAUAUUCCUGUACCGAUAUGGAAUGCGAUGGGGGGACGGAGAAGGGUAGGUCAGCCAACUGUUGGAAUAGUUGGUUCAAGCGUGUAGGCGUGCUCUGUAGGCAAAUCCGCAGAGCUUAGCUGAGGCGUGAUAACGAGGUGCCACGUGCACUGAAGUGAUUGAUCCCAUGCUUCCAGGAAAAGCCUCUAAGCUUCAGUUUCAUAUUGACCGUACUGCAAACCGACACAGGUGGGUAGGGUGAGAAUCCUAAGGCGCUUGAGAGAACUCAGGAGAAGGAACUCGGCAAAUUAACACCGUAACUUCGGGAGAAGGUGUG